UACAGAGGUCUCAAGCGUUGUUCGGAUUCAUUGGGCGUAAAGGGUGCGUAGGUGGCGCGCUAAGUCAGGUGUGAAAUUUCGGAGCUUAACUCCGAAACUGCAUUUGAUACUGGCGUGCUUGAGGACUGGAGAGGAGACUGGAAUUCACGGUGUAGCAGUGAAAUGCGUAGAUAUCGUGAGGAAGACCAGUGGCGAAGGCGGGUCUCUGGACAGUUCCUGACACUGAGGCACGAAGGCCAGGGGAGCAAAACGGGG
rnacentral:rRNA from 1 species